rnacentral:rRNA from 1 species
GACGAACGCUGGCGGCGUGCUUAACACAUGCAAGUCGAACGGAAAGGCCUGCUUUCCCUUGUGGAUUGCGGGUACUCGAGUGGCGAACGGGUGAGUAACACGUGAGUGAUCUGCCCCCAACUUGGGUAUAAGCCUGGGAAACUGGGUCUAAUUCCCGAUAGGACUGCAGGGUGGUGCCUGUGGUGGAAAACGAUUUUCUAGUGGUUGGGGAUGAGCUCGCGGCCUAUCAGCUUGUUGGUGGGGUAAUGGCCUACCAAGGCGGCGACGGGUAGCCGGCCUGAGAGGGUGGACGGCCACAUUGGGACUGAGAUACGGCCCAGACUCCUACGGGAGGCAGCAGUGGGGAAUAUUGCACAAUGGGCGGAAGCCUGAUGCAGCGACGCCGCGUGGGGGAUGACGGCCUUCGGGUUGUAAACUCCUUUCGACCGCGAGGAAGCCACCUGGUUGGAAGGGUGGUGACGGUAGUGGUGGAAGAAGCACCGGCUAACUACGUG